ensembl:ncRNA C07A9.15 ncRNA
GUUUUACUUUUUUCGAAAUUUUGAAAUGACAGAGUUUCUGCGUGAUGGUGGUGAACAUCGGCCGCGGCCACGACCGCGACGCAGCUGCGAGCGGACCGGUUCAAACAAAAAAGUUUGUUUUAUUUUGUUUUUCGCCCAGACCGCAUGAUU